UUUAUUGCAGAGUGUGACUUUGUUGUUGCGUUUUAAGUGAAACUAACGACGCCUGCUACUAUAAUUCCAGAAGCUCUCAAAACGGAACCAAGAGAUGAUUACUGGCUGAUUGAAUCAAGGAACAGAGUCUUCCGCCAAAACAGAGAUAAACAAGGACACAAGAGGCACAUUCAAUCAGUUGUCUCGUGUUUAAAAGUGGCGCUUCUGGGGACCGUAGAUUCUUCUCUGAUUCUUCUUGUCUCAGCCAAGACUCACUAUCAUCAACUUUUUUCUUGUGCUUAUUACGGCAUGGGACACAGAGAGCUGAGAUAUGUCACGUGACAAAAAUAGAUAACAGAAAAUGUUACUGACGAUCACCUGAUUCAACUGGAAUAAUAACUCCAAACAGCUUUUGAACGUCCUGAGACAUAUGCAAGAUUGACCUGCUUGAUUUAUAUCGGUUACGCUUCAUGUUGACAAGUCCCUCAAAAUGGCGGCCAAACUUGGAGAUUGCCGAAAAUUAGGAUGAUCAAGCUUAAGAUGGCCUCAAAAAGAAGUGAACUCGACUGUAACAAUUUGGUGGCUACUUUGGAAACUUGAGCACUUGGUAAAUACACCUUGGCUUGCAAUUCUGAUGAUUACAGUUUUCUGAAGUAAUUGAAAUGUCGGUCCCCAUACAGGAAACUCCCACAUAACUUGCACAGUCAUAAGUUAUGAGAUGACUUUCGAAAAAUGCAUUUGUGUCUGUAAAACUAUUGUAAGUAAAGUACCACCUGGUGACAAAGAAAUUAAUGAUUUCCUGUAAGCAUGAAUUUUUGGGAGAAGUUAAAGUGGUAAUUUACCUUUUUUGCUAGUAUGAAUAGGAUUUGAUGAUUGUAAUGUAUCUCUCUUAAUUUUCAAACUUUCAACUCUUUUUUGAUUGUAACUGUCUACCAUAUCUAUUUCUCUGUACCUUAAGCCCUCAAAAGUUGAAGCAGGUGAGACAAUAACCUGACAUCGUUUGUUUGGAAUUGUGUGAUUAUAAUUUUGCUGUGUAAGUUGCCACGUUGUAUCAUAUAAUAUUAUCAUUUGGAUUGAAUUAAAUACUCUUGCUUAAGCUUUCA